AUGCAGUUGCCCCAGCAGUGGGAGCUGGGAGACUCCUGUGCUUGGACAGGAAGGUUCACUCUGAUCAGAAUGUACACCAUCUGCAGGUGUUCUCUUCGUUUGUGUCUUGGAAACAGAGUAUUUUAAGCAGAAAUUUCUACCUUACCCCAAACCUAGAGAGACUAGUAAUGAUCCCAUAGCAUUUAACAUAAAUUGAGUGUAUUAUCCAGAAAGACCUGGAUGGCUUUGAUUAGCCAAAGCACAACGUAUAGUGAUGGAAUCCAAGAUGGGUCUCCAACAGCUGAAAACGUGGGGAAAUCAGCUGUCAUUGAGAUAACUGCCUGCACUAGGUACACCUUUGAGACUCCAAGACAUAAUUUGGUAAUUAAUAUAAUGUCAACAGAAGACUUCCUGCUGCCAUAACUUACAGAAUUCUUCAUUAAAAAUAUAAAUAUAGAAGAAAUAGUGGCCAGUGAGGUUCUUAGAGACUUUUCUGGGGCAGUGAAAACUGUGGCCACCAGAGAGCCUGAACGCCAUAAACAUCAUGCUGGCCCUAGACAGGGGCAGCCCGGGUCUGCUUCCCAUUAAUGGCCUGAAGGAGGGUCAUAGUUGGUGCUGAUGUCCCAUUUUCCUCUUGUUUAUGAGAUGUUCAAAAUCCACAGAAUCAAUUGAGAUGUAGUCAAGACAUGGCGCCUGUAAUAAGAUGUAAUAAAAAAUGUCAUACUCAGUUUUACAUUGACGAGUGCAAAAUUUCAUUGGUUUAUAAAGCAAAGCAAGUGUCCACCUAUCAGAAGGAGAUUCAUGGAGAGGCAAUUUUAGCCAACGAUGUAGAGUACAAACCCUCUUCUGAUUCUUUGAAAAACAGAGACUAUUACAUGGAUUUCCUAAUUACAACGGCUGUGCCCUUGGCAGCAGCACUGGUCCUUUUUCUAAUACUUGCUUAUAUCGUGUGCUACCGAUAGGAAGGAGUAGAAAAGAGAAACAUGCAAACACCAGGCAUGCAACUGGUACAUCACUGUGCUAUUCAGAAAUCUACCAAGGGGCUUUGAGCCCAAGCAUAGAAAGACAGCAUGGCCCUUUUCAACGCUCUUUCUGUGUUUUGCCCUGUAACGGGGAAAAUCAUACCUUCUCUACAUGCAGACAACUAUGAUAGCACUAACAUGACACUGAGGCAAAUGCAGCAGAACUUGCCACAUCAGACACCAGAUCUUCAACAGCACACUACAAGAAAAUGGUAUCCCUGAAGAAAGAAAACCGACCCAAGCAAUGAAUUUUAAAUCAGACAAUACAGCAGUUAUAUCGUAUUUCUUUUCUCUUCCAGUAAUGCAUGAGCUUUUUUGGCAUAUGGUGUACAUGUUGACAGUAUUAAGUAUGUACCAAAUAAUACAACAUAACUUUCACUUUACUAAUGUAUUUUUCCCUAAAUCAUUUUUGACAAGUUGUAAAACAUUGAUGACUUUAUAUUUGUUACAAUAAAAAGUGAUCUUUAAAAAACACAUUAUUAAUGGAAAAA